CCUACGGGAGGCUGCAGUGGGGAAUAUUGGACAAUGGGCGAAAGCCUGAUCCAGCCAUGCCGCGUGUGUGAAGAAGGCCUUCGGGUUGUAAAGCACUUUCAGUGGGGAAGAAAGCCUUGGGGCUAAUACCCUCGAGGAAGGACAUCACCCACAGAAGAAGCACCGGCUAACUCCGUGCCAGCAGCCGCGGUAAUACGGAGGGUGCGAGCGUUAAUCGGAAUUACUGGGCGUAAAGCGCGCGUAGGCGGUCUGAUAAGCCGGUUGUGAAAGCCCCGGGCUCAACCUGGGAACGGCAUCCGGAACUGUCAGGCUAGAGUGCAGGAGAGGAAGGUAGAAUUCCCGGUGUAGCGGUGAAAUGCGUAGAGAUCGGGAGGAAUACCAGUGGCGAAGGCGGCCUUCUGGACAGACACUGACGCUGAGGUGCGAAAGCGUGGGUAGCAAACAGGAUUAGAUACCCUUGUAGUC
rnacentral:rRNA from 1 species